rnacentral:rRNA from 1 species
CAGUCGCCACGGUAAUACGAAGGGUGCAAGCGUUAAUCGGAAUUACUGGGCGUAAAGCGUGCGUAGGCGGUGAGUUAAGUCUGCUGUGAAAUCCCCGGGCUCAACCUGGGAAUGGCAGUGGAUACUGGCUCGCUAGAGUGUGUCAGAGGAUGGUGGAAUUCCCGGUGUAGCGGUGAAAUGCGUAGAGAUCGGGAGGAACAUCAGUGGCGAAGGCGGCCAUCUGGGACAACACUGACGCUCAUGCACGAAAGCGUGGGGAGCAAACAGGAUUAGAUACCCGCGUAGUCCCUGUCUCUUAUAC